GACGGAGGGUGGGAGCGUUAAUCGGAAUUACUGGGCGUAAAGCGCAUGUAGGCGGCCGAACAAGUCAGGUGUGAAAUCCUCGGGCUUAACCUGGGAAGUGCACUUGAUACUGUCCGGCUAGAGUUUGGCAGAGGAAAGUAGAAUUCCCGGUGUAGCGGUGAAAUGCGUAGAUAUCGGGAGGAAUACCAGUGGCGAAGGCGGCUUUCUGGGCCAAUACUGACGCUGAGGAGCGAAAGCGUGGGGAGCGAACAGG
rnacentral:rRNA from 1 species